GUGAGUCUUCGUGCUGUGAAAACCUAUAAUUUUGACGUGGUGUUGUAUAUUGCUGUGGGCUGCUGUGUAUUGCCGUGUGUCCUGUCAGAUAAACCCCCGCCUUCACGCACUUCGUCGCGGGAGGACAAGGAGACUGCUGGUCCUAGCCUAGUUCAGUACAGUAUAUGUUGUGAGCGUGCUUCAGAUCUCCGGAGAUAGCAUGGUACGCUGUGUCCAGCCCAGAGGUGAAAGCCAUCCAAAGCAGAGUAACUGUGCUUUGUGUCCAAGUUGAUACCUGUGGAGAGGAAAGGAAAGAGAGAUUGAUACCUGUGGAGAGAAAAGGAAAGAGAGAGUGAGUAACACAAGGAGAAACAGAGGAAACCUGUACUUACAGUACGCUGUGUCCAGCCCAGAGUUGAUACCUGUGGAGAGAAAAGGAGAGAGAGUGGGUAACACGAGGAGAGACCGAGGAAAACUGUACUUACGCCGCUACCUGUGGAGAAAGAGAAAGCGAGUGAGCACCCAAGGAACGAACUGUGUGAACCAGUACUUACUGUGAGCUGCAAUCAGCGAAGAGGUGAGAGCCAUUCAAAGCAAACUAACUGUGCUAUUGUGCCUAAGUUGAUACCUGUGGAGAGAAAAGGAGAGAGAGUGGGUAACACGAGGAGAGACCGAGGAAAACUGUACUUACGCCGCUACCUGUGGAGAAAGAGAAAGCGAGUGAGCACCCAAGGAACGAACUGUGUGAACCAGUACUU
ensembl:lncRNA